AGAGUUUGAUCCUGGCUCAGGAUGAACGCUGGCGGCGUGCCUAACACAUGCAAGUCGAACGAAGCGCUUUAUUACGAUUUCUUCGGAAUGACGAUUGAGUGACUGAGUGGCGGACGGGUGAGUAACGCGUGGAUAACCUGCCCCAUACAGGGGGAUAACAGUUAGAAAUGACUGCUAAUACCGCAUAAGCGCACAGUAUCGCAUGAUACAGUGUGAAAAACUCCGGUGGUAUGGGAUGGAUCCGCGUCUGAUUAGCCAGUUGGCGGGGUAGAGGCCCACCAAAGCGACGAUCAGUAGCCGACCUGAGAGGGUGACCGGCCACAUUGGGACUGAGACACGGCCCAAACUCCUACGGGAGGCAGCAGUGGGGAAUAUUGCACAAUGGGGGAAACCCUGAUGCAGCGACGCCGCGUGAGCGAAGAAGUAUUUCGGUAUGUAAAGCUCUAUCAGCAGGGAAGAAGAAAGUGACGGUACCUGACUAAGAAGCUCCGGCUAAAUACGUGCCAGCAGCCGCGGU
rnacentral:rRNA from 1 species